UCUCUCUUGCUGGUCAUCCAGUUUCCGAGAUUUGGGAGAAAUGCGUGGGCUGCCAUCAUCAGGUGUUGGGCUGCGCUUCCUACUCUUGGAGGGCAAACCAUUCUUCAGAUCGUGGCUCAGGGACCUCUCCUCAUUCUCCACACUUCGCUCUCUCUUUGGUGGAGGUGAUCUUGAUCGGCUGUAACUUCGACCUCUGCUGUAACUUGGACUGCGGCUUCCGCCACGGCGAGGAGAGUGUGAUCUAGCUGGUGAUCGGGAAUAACUCC
rnacentral:misc_RNA from 1 species